rnacentral:rRNA from 1 species
ACACGCAUGACACACUGCAUAUCAAUAAGCGGAGGAAAAGAAACUAACAAGGAUUCCCCUAGUAACGGCGAGUGAAGCGGGAAGAGCUCAAAUUUGAAAUCUUAAAGGGUUUCCCUUUACGAAUUGUAGUUUAAAGAAGUGUUUUCUGUUGGAGUUUCGGUAAAAGUUCUUUGGAAUAGGACAUCAUAGAGGGUGAGAAUCCCGUAUUUGACCGUUACUUUCCAGCUGUGUGAUACACUUUCAAAGAGUCGGAUUGUUUGGGAAUGCAGUCCAAAAUGGGUGGUAAAUUUCAUCUAAAGCUAAAUAUUGGCGAGAGACCGAUAGCGAACAAGUACCGUGAGGGAAAGAUGAAAAGAACUUUGAAAAGAGAGUUAAACAGUACGUGAAAUUGUCAAAAGGGAAGCGUUUGACACCAGUGUUGUUUAGUUGAAAAUCAAUUCAAUAAUUUUUGAUUUUAAGUAGUAUUGACUUCAUCAGCUUGCUGCUUUCUUUUCAGGAAUUAUUGAAUGCACUUUUCAGUUAACAAGUCAACAUCAAUUUCUUUUGUUGUAAAAGGGUAAGAGGAAGGUGGCUUACGCUUCGGCGUAAGUGUUUAUAGCCUUUUACCUCUGCAAUCGGAGAGAUUGAGGACAGCAGCGUAGACUCUUCGGGGUUAGAUACACUUGUGCUAAGCUAUAGCCUUGUAUAGACAACUUGUUGACUAUGCUCAGUCAUGUAGCUUACUCGCUUGUGCUAUUUUACCUACGCUUAGGAUGUUGAACUACUGAGACAUAGA